rnacentral:rRNA from 1 species
GAGGAACGCUGGCGGCGUGCCUAAUACAUGCAAGUCGAGCGAACAGACGAGGAGCUUGCUCCUCUGACGUUAGCGGCGGACGGGUGAGUAACACGUGGAUAACCUACCUAUAAGACUGGGAUAACUUCGGGAAACCGGAGCUAAUACCGGAUAAUAUAUUGAACCGCAUGGUUCAAUAGUGAAAGACGGUUUUGCUGUCACUUAUAGAUGGAUCCGCGCCGCAUUAGCUAGUUGGUAAGGUAACGGCUUACCAAGGCAACGAUGCGUAGCCGACCUGAGAGGGUGAUCGGCCACACUGGAACUGAGACACGGUCCAGACUCCUACGGGAGGCAGCAGUAGGGAAUCUUCCGCAAUGGGCGAAAGCCUGACGGAGCAACGCCGCGUGAGUGAUGAAGGUCUUCGGAUCGUAAAACUCUGUUAUUAGGGAAGAACAAAUGUGUAAGUAACUAUGCACGUCUUGACGGUACCUAAUCAGAAAGCCACGGCUAGCUACGUG